rnacentral:rRNA from 1 species
AUUGAACGCUGGCGGCAUGCUUUACACAUGCAAGUCGAACGGUAACAGGCCGCCAGGUGCUGACGAGUGGCGAACGGGUGCGUAAUGCAUCGGAACGUGCCCAGUCGUGGGGGAUAACUACUCGAAAGAGUAGCUAAUACCGCAUACGAUCUAUGGAUGAAAGCGGGGGACCGUAAGGCCUCGCGCGAUUGGAGCGGCCGAUGUCAGAUUAGGUAGUUGGUGGGGUAAAGGCUCACCAAGCCAACGAUCUGUAGCUGGUCUGAGAGGACGACCAGCCACACUGGGACUGAGACACGGCCCAGACUCCUACGGGAGGCAGCAGUGGGGAAUUUUGGACAAUGGGCGCAAGCCUGAUCCAGCAAUGCCGCGUGCAGGAAGAAGGCCUUCGGGUUGUAAACUGCUUUUGUACGGAACGAAACGGCUCUGGUUAAUACCCGGGGAUAAUGACGGUACCGUAAGAAUAAGCACCGGCUAACUACGUG